rnacentral:rRNA from 1 species
UACGGGGGGGGUAAGCGUUGUUCGGAAUCGCUGGGCGUAAAGGGCGCGUAGGCGGCCGAUCAAGUCGGGGGUGAAAGCCUGUGGCUCAACCACAGAAUUGCCUUCGAUACUGUUUGGCUUGAGACCGGAAGAGGUUAGUGGAACUGCGAGUGUAGAGGUGAAAUUCGUAGAUAUUCGCAAGAACACCAGUGGCGAAGGCGGCUGACUGGUCCGGUUCUGACGCUGAGGCGCGAAAGCGUGGGGAGCAAACAGG